CCCUUAGAUGGCCUGGGCUGCACGCGGGCUACAAUGGUAUAUUCAGCGUGAGUUGUUUACCGAAAGGUAGAUCAAAUCUUCAAAUUAUACCGUACUUGGGAUUGGACAUUGCAAUUGUUGUCCAUGAACGAGGAAUUCCUAGUAAGUGCAUGUCAUUAGCGUGCGCUGAUUACGUCCCUGCCCUUUGUACACACCGCCCGUCGCUCCUACCGAUUGAAUGAUCCGAUGAAUAUCAUGGAUUGAGGAUGUAAGCAGGUUCGCCUGUCUUCAUCUUCGAGAAGUGAAGUAAAUCUUAUCAUUUAGAGGAAGGAGAAGUCGUAACA
rnacentral:rRNA from 1 species